GAUCAUGGCUCAGGAUGAACGCUAGCUACAGGCUUAACACAUGCAAGUCGAGGGGCAGCAUCAUCAAAGCUUGCUUUGAUGGAUGGCGACCGGCGCACGGGUGAGUAACACGUAUCCAACCUGCCGACAACACUGGGAUAGCCUUUCGAAAGAAAGAUUAAUACCGGAUGGCAUAGUUUUCCCGCAUGGGAUAAUUAUUAAAGAAUUUCGGUUGUCGAUGGGGAUGCGUUCCUAG
rnacentral:rRNA from 1 species